UACGUAGGUGGCAAGCGUUGUCCGGAAUUAUUGGGCGUAAAGCGCGCGCAGGCGGUUUCUUAAGUCUGAUGUGAAAGCCCCCGGCUCAACCGGGGAGGGUCAUUGGAAACUGGGAAACUUGAGUGCAGGAGAGAAGAGCGGAAUUCCACGUGUAGCGGUGAAAUGCGUAGAUAUCGGGAGGAACACCAGAGGCGAAGGCGGCCGGCUGGGCUGUACCUGACGCUGAGGCGCGAAAGCGUGGGGAGCGAACCGG
rnacentral:rRNA from 1 species